UACGUAGGGUGCAAGCGUUUGUCCGGAAUUAUUGGGCGUAAAGAGCUCGUAGGCGGUCUGUCGCGUCUGCUGUGAAAACUCGGGGCUUAACCCCGGGCCUGCAGUGGAUACGGGCAGACUAGAGGUAGGUAGGGGAGAAUGGAAUUCCCGGUGUAGCGGUGAAAUGCGCAGAUAUCGGGAGGAACACCGGUGGCGAAGGCGGUUCUCUGGGCCUUACCUGACGCUGAGGAGCGAAAGCGUGGGGAGCAAACAGG
rnacentral:rRNA from 1 species